rnacentral:rRNA from 1 species
AUGCCAUGCGGCUUCGAGAUUAACUUCCCAGUACUCCUAGAGAAGGCCAAGGACCUAGACUUGGACAUCCCUUACAAUCACCCUGUUUUGGAAGAGAUAUAUGCCAAGAGGAAUCUGAAGCUCUCUAAGAUACCUCUGGAUGUGCUACACGCCAUACCAACGACCCUACUUUUCAGCGUGGAGGGAAUGGUAGACUUACCAUUGGACUGGGAAAAGCUACUCAGGUUGCGCUGUCCAGAUGGCUCCUUCCAUUCCUCGCCUGUUGCCACAGCUGCUGCGCUUAGUUACACCGGCGACAAGGAAUGCCUAGCAUUCCUAGAUAGGCUUGUCAAAAAGUUCAAGGGGGGAGUGCCAUGUAGCCACUCUAUGGAUACUUUUGAGCAGUUAUGGGUGGUCGACUGGCUCAUGCGUCUCGGGAUAUCAAGGCACUUCACAAGUGAAAUUCAGCGAUGCUUAGAGUUUAUUUACAGGCGUUGGACUCAGAAGGGACUGGCGCAUAACGCGUACUGUCAAGUCGUGGAUAUUGAUGACACGUCCAUGGGUUUCCGUCUCCUCCGUCAGCAUGGCUACGACGUCACUCCAUCGGUGUUUAAGCACUUUGAGACCAAGGAUGGAAAUUUCUUCUGUUUCCCCAUGGAGACCAACCAUGCAUCUGUCACCCCGAUGUACAACACUUACCGUGCUUCGCAGUUCAUGUUCCCUGGUGACGACGAAGUACUGGCACGGGCCGGGCGCUAUUGCCGUGCAUUCCUCCAAGAGAGACAAGCCUCCAACAAACUGCACGACAAAUGGAUCAUUACCAAGGACCUGCCGGGCGAGGUCGAGUACACACUGAACUUCCCCUGGAAAGCAAGUUUGUCACGAAUUGAAACAAGGAUGUAUCUGGAUCAGUACGGAGGCAACACAGAUGUCUGGAUUGCUAAGGUCCUCUACAGGAAUGAGGAUUCACCGGGGCGUUUUAACACAGUAGACGCAGAUGCUUAUAUCAUCUUCGAGAGACUGAGCCGGCUAUAUUCUUACUUGAGAGUAUGCAUAGGUGGUAUUUCAGGAACCAUCUGCAGAGGUAUGGUGGGACUCCAAAGAGCGCGCUCACGGCUUACUUCUUAG